rnacentral:rRNA from 1 species
UACGGGAGGCAGCAGUAGGGAAUUUUCGGCAAUGGGCGCAAGCCUGACCGAGCAACGCCGCGUGAGUGAAGAAGAAUUUCGGUUCGUAAAGCUCUGUUGUAAGGGAAGAAUAACACGGAGAGAAUCCGUGCAUGACGGUACCUUACCAGAAAGCCACGGCUAACUACGUGCCAGCAGCCGCGGUAAU